rnacentral:rRNA from 1 species
GUAGGUGGCGAGCGUUAUCCGGAAUGAUUGGGCGUAAAGGGUGCGUAGGCGGCCCGUUAAGUCUGGAGUCAAAGCCGGCAGCUCAACUGUCGUACGCUUUGGAAACUGGCGGGCUGGAGUGCAGAAGAGGGCGAUGGAACUCCAUGUGUAGCGGUAAAAUGCGUAGAUAUAUGGAAGAACACCAGUGGCGAAGGCGGUCGCCUGGUCUGCAACUGACGCUGAAGCACGAAAGCGUGGGGAGCAAAUAGGAUUAGAUACCCUAGUAGUCCACGUCGUAAACGAUGAGAACUAAGUGUUGGGGGAAUAACUCAGUGCUGCAGUUAACGCAAUAAGUUCUCCGCCUGGGGAGUAUGCACGCAAGUGUGAAACUCAAAGGAAUUGACGG